UUUAACGGCCGCGGUAUCCUAACCGUGCAAAGGUAGCGUAAUCACUUGCCCCUUAAAUAGGGACCAGUAUGAAUGGCUAAAUGAGGAUAAUUCUGUCUCCUUUAACAAAUCAGUGAAACUGAUCUACCAGUACAAAAGCUGGUAUAACCCCAUAAGACGAGAAGACCCUGUGGAGCUUUAAAUUUAACCCAAGCAAUCAAACACAAGUUGACACAUGGCUAAAAAUUUUAAGUUGGGGCGACUUCGGAAUAAAACCAAACUUCCGAGCAUAAGACUACGUCAUUCUAAGACYUACAAGUCAAAACUAAAAUUGRCCCAGUAACCCUGACCACCGAACCAAGUUACCCCAGGGAUACCAGCGCAAUCUUCUUCCAGAGUCCCUAUCGACAAGAAGGKUUACGACCUCGAUGUUGGAUCAGGACACCCAAAURGUGCAGCCGYUAUUAAAGG
rnacentral:rRNA from 1 species